rnacentral:rRNA from 3 species
UACGUAUGGAGCAAGCGUUAUCCGGAUUUAUUGGGCGUAAAGCGCGCGUAGGCGGCUUGUUAAGCAAGGUCUUAAAUCUUGGGGCUCAACCUCAAGCCGGAUCUUGAACUGGCAGGCUCGAGUAUGGUAGAGGAAAGUGGAAUUCCCAGUGUAGCGGUGGAAUGCGCAGAUAUUGGGAAGAACACCGAUGGCGAAGGCAGCUUUCUGGGCCAUUACUGACGCUGAGGUGCGAAAGCUAGGGGAGCAAACAGG